GGCUUAACACAUGCAAGUCGAGGGGCAUCAGGAAUAAAGCUUGCUUUCUUUGCUGGCGACCGGCGCACGGGUGAGUAACACGUAUCCAACCUGCCCUUUACUCGGGGAUAGCCUUUCGAAAGAAAGAUUAAUACCCGAUAGCAUAAUGAUUCCGCAUGGUUUCAUUAUUAAAGGAUUCCGGUAAAGGAUGGGGAUGCGUUCCAUUAGGUUGUUGGUGAGGUAACGGCCCACCAAGCCUUCGAUGGAUAGGGGUUCUGAGAGGAAGGUCCCCCACAUUGGAACUGAGACACGGUCCAAACUCCUACGGGAGGCAGCAGUGAGGAAUAUUGGUCAAUGGGCGCUAGCCUGAACCAGCCAAGUAGCGUGAAGGAUGAAGGCUCUAUGGGUCGUAAACUUCUUUUAUGUAAGAAUAAAGUGCAGUAUGUAUACUGUUUUGUAUGUAUUAUAUGAAUAAGGAUCGGCUAACUCCGUGCCAGCAGCCGCGGUAAUACGGAGGAUCCGAGCGUUAUCCGGAUUUAUUGGGUUUAAAGGGAGCGUAGGUGGACUGGUAAGUCAGUUGUGAAAGUUUGCGGCUCAACCGUAAAAUUGCAGUUGAUACUGUCAGUCUUGAGUACAGUAGAGGUGGGCGGAAUUCGUGGUGUAGCGGUGAAAUGCUUAGAUAUCACGAAGAACUCCGAUUGCGAAGGCAGCUCACUGGACUGCAACUGACACUGAUGCUCGAAAGUGUGGGUAUCAAACAGGAUUAGAUACCCUGGUAGUCCACACAGUAAACGAUGAAUACUCGCUGUUUGCGAUAUACAGUAAGCGGCCAAGCGAAAGCAUUAAGUAUUCCACCUGGGGAGUACGCCGGCAACGGUGAAACUCAAAGGAAUUGACGGGGGCCCGCACAAGCGGAGGAACAUGUGGUUUAAUUCGAUGAUACGCGAGGAACCUUACCCGGGCUUAAAUUGCAGUGGAAUGAUGUGGAAACAUGUCAGUGAGCAAUCACCGCUGUGAAGGUGCUGCAUGGUUGUCGUCAGCUCGUGCCGUGAGGUGUCGGCUUAAGUGCCAUAACGAGCGCAACCCUUAUCUUUAGUUACUAACAGGUUAUGCUGAGGACUCUAGAGAGACUGCCGUCGUAAGAUGUGAGGGAGGUGGGGAUGACGUCAAAUCAGCACGGCCCUUACGUCCGGGGCUACGCACGUGUUACAAUGGGGGGUACAGAAGGCAGCUAGCGGGUGACCGUAUGCUAAUCCCAAAAUCCUCUCUCAGUUCGGAUCGAAGUCUGCAACCCGACUUCGUGAAGCUGGAUUCGCUAGUAAUCGCGCAUCAGCCACGGCGCGGCGAAUACGUUCCCGGGCCUUGUACACACCGCCCGUCAAGCCAUGGGAGCCGGGGGUACCUGAAGUACGUAACCGCAAGGAUCGUCCUAGGGUAAAACUGGUGACUGGGGCUAA
rnacentral:rRNA from 1 species